rnacentral:misc_RNA from 1 species
UACGUAGGUGACAAGCGUUAAUCGGAAUUACUGGGCGUAAAGCGCGCGUAGGUGGCUUGAUAAGCCGGUUGUGAAAGCCCCGGGCUCAACCCGGGAACGGCAUCCGGAACUGUCAAGCUAGAGUACAGGAGAGGAAGGUAGAAUUCCCGGUGUAGCGGUGAAAUGCGUAGAGAUCGGGAGGAAUACCAGUGGCGAAGGCGGCCUCCUGGACUGACACUGACGCUGAGGUGCGAAAGCGUGGGUAGCAAACAGG